rnacentral:rRNA from 1 species
GUGAGGAAUAUUGGUCAAUGGGCGAGAGCCUGAACCAGCCAAGUCGCGUGAAGGAAGAAGGAUCUAUGGUUCGUAAACUUCUUUUGCAGGGGAAUAAAGUGCGGGACGUGUCCUGUUUUGUAUGUACCCUGAGAAUAAGGAUCGGCUAACUCCGUGCCAGCAGCCGCGGUAAUACGGAGGAUCCGAGCGUUAUCCGGAUUUAUUGGGUUUAAAGGGUGCGUAGGUGGUUUGAUAAGUCAGCGGCGAAAGUUUGCAGCUUAACUGUAAAAAUGCCGUUGAAACUGUCGGACUUGAGUGUAAAUGAGGUAGGCGGAAUGCGUGGUGUAGCGGUGAAAUGCAUAGAUAUAACACAGAACUCCGAUUGCGAAGGCAGCUUACUGGGAUGCAACUGACACUGAUGCACGAAAGCGUGGGUAUCAAACAGGAUUAGAAACCCCGGUAGUCC